GUGCACGCUGGCGGUAGGCCUAACACAUGCAAGUCGAACGGCAGCACAGUAAGAGCUUGCUCUUACGGGUGGCGAGUGGCGGACGGGUGAGGAAUACAUCGGAAUCUACUUUUUCGUGGGGGAUAACGUAGGGAAACUUACGCUAAUACCGCAUACGACCUACGGGUGAAAGCAGGGGAUCUUCGGACCUUGCGCGAUUGAAUGAGCCGAUGUCGGAUUAGCUAGUUGGCGGGGUAAAGGCCCACCAAGGCGACGAUCCGUAGCUGGUCUGAGAGGAUGAUCCGCCAACCUGGAACUGAGACACGGUCCAGACUCCUAGGGGAGGCAGCAGGGGGGAAUUUUGGACAAGGGGCGAAAGCCUGACCCAGCCAUACCGGGGGGGUGAAGAAGGCCUUGGGGUUGUAAAGCCCUUUUGUUGGGAAAGAAAAGCAGCAGGUUAAUCCCCCGCUGUUUUGACGGUACCCAAAGAAAAAGCACCGGCUAACUUCGU
rnacentral:rRNA from 1 species